GAUGAACGCUGGCGGCGUGCCUAAUACAUGCAAGUCGAACGAGGCCCUCUUCCUUCGGGAGGAGGUGUCCUAGUGGCGAACGGGUGAGUAUCACGUUGGUGACCUACCCCGAAGAGGGGGACAACCCCGGGAAACUGGGGCUAAUACCCCAUGUGAUCCUAAGGACUAGAUGCCUAAGGAUGAAAUGGAGUAAUCCGCUUCGGGAGGGGCCUGCGGCCUAUCAGCUAGUUGGUGAGGUAAUGGCUCACCAAGGCGACGACGGGUAGGGGACCUGAGAGGGUGACCCCCCACACUGGAACUGAAACACGGACCAGACACCUACGGGUGGCAGCAGUAGGGAAUAUUGCACAAUAGGCGAAAGCCUGAUGCAGCAACGCCGCGUGCGCGAUGAAGGCCUUCGGGUUGUAAAGCGCUUUUCUGGGGGACGAGAAAGGACGGUACCCCAGGAAUAAGUCUCGGCUAACUACGUG
rnacentral:rRNA from 1 species